UACAGAGGUCUCAAGCGUUGUUCGGAUUCAUUGGGCGUAAAGGGUGUGUAGGUGGCGCGCUAAGUCGGGUGUGAAAUUUCGGAGCUUAACUCCGAAACUGCAUUCGAUACUGGCGUGCUUGAGGACUGGAGAGGAGACUGGAAUUCAUGGUGUAGCAGUGAAAUGCGCAGAUAUCAGGAGGAACACCGGUGGCGAAGGCGGUUCUCUGGGCAUUACCUGACGCUGAGGAGCGAAAGUGUGGGGAGCGAACAGG
rnacentral:rRNA from 1 species